rnacentral:rRNA from 1 species
AGCUCCACGAGUCUAUAUUAGAGUUGUUGUAGUUAAAAAGCUCGUAGUCGAAAGGGGGGGAGAGAGUGAGGGGAUGAUUGGUUUUAUUUAUUAAUUUAAAUGAAUUCAAUGCCCCGUCUCUCUGCUCUUUAACGGGCAAUCUAAUUUAGUUUAUUUUGCCCUGUUUACUUUGAUAAAAAUAGAGUGCUCAAAACAAACUGUAUUUAGAUACAAUUUAAUAGUUUUUGAAUAGUCCAGCAUGGGAUAAUGAAACAAGACCUCGAAUUGAUUUUGUUGGUUGAACAAAUGAAGGGUAAUGAUUAAUAGGAUCGGUUGGGGAUGUUUGUAUUGGCGGGCAAGAGGUGAAAUUCUAUGAUUCCGUCACGACAAACUUUUGCGAAAGCAUUCAUCAAGGACGUUU